UGGGGAAUAUUGCACAAUGGGCGAAAGCCUGAUGCAGCGACGCCGCGUGAGGGAUGACGGCCUUCGGGUUGUAAACCUCUUUCAGUAGGGACGAAGCGCAAGUGACGGUACCUGCAGAAGAAGCACCGGCUAACUACGUGCCAGCAGCCGCGGUAAUACGUAGGGUGCGAGCGUUGUCCGGAAUUACUGGGCGUAAAGAGCUCGUAGGCGGUUUGUCACGUCGUCUGUGAAAUCCUAGGGCUUAACCCUGGACGUGCAGGCGAUACGGGCUGACUUGAGUACUACAGGGGAGACUGGAAUUUCUGGUGUAGCGGUGGAAUGCACAGAUAUCAGGAAGAACACCGCUGGCGAAGGCAGGUCUCUGGGUAGUAACUGACGCUGAGGAGCGAAAGCAUGGGUAGCGAACAGG
rnacentral:rRNA from 1 species